rnacentral:tRNA from 1 species
ACCGAGAUAGCUCAGCUGGUAGAGCACCUGCCUGAUAUGCAGGGGGUCGCUGGUUCAAUUACGGCUCGCGGUG